GUUCAGAUUGCAGGCUGCAACUCGCCUGCAUGAAGUCGGAAUUGCUAGUAAUCGUAGGUCAGCAUACUACGGUGAAUACGUUCCCGGGCCUUGUACACACCGCCCGUCAAACCAUGAGAGUUGGCAACACCCGAAGUCGGUAGUCUAACCGCAAGGAGGACGCCGCCGAAGGUGGGGUUGAUGAUUAGGGUUAAGUCGUAACAAGGUACC
rnacentral:rRNA from 1 species